AUGGAGGAAGCCACUUCUCCCAUGCAUCUCCGCAACCGGAUGCAACUUUGCCAUCGCGAAUUAACACUAUUAGCUGCUUCACCAUCGCUUCUGGAUCCCGGCCUGUUGCACCACUUUCUAAAUGCGGUUCAUCCACCACCAUCCGUAGCCACGCCUAGCGGCCUUAUUUCUUCUCCCAAUCUGAUUAUUGCGGAGGAGGACACAUGUUAG